rnacentral:rRNA from 1 species
GACGAACGCUGGCGGCGUGCUUAACACAUGCAAGUCGAACGGAAAGGCCCUGCUUUUGCUGGGUUCUCGAUUGGCGAACGGGUGAGAAACACGUGAGUAACCUGCCCUUGACUUUGGGAUAACUUUAGGAAACUGGGGCUAUUACCGGAUAUGAGCUCCUGCUGCAUGUUGGGGGUUGGAAAGUUUCGGCGGUUGGGGAUGGUCUCGCGGCUUAUCAGCUUGUUUGGGGGGUUGUGGCUUACCAAGGCUGUGACGGGUAGCCGGCCUGAGAGGGGUGCCGGGCACAAUGGGACUGAGGUACGGCCCAGACUCCUACGGGAGGCAGCAGUGGGGAAUAUUACAGAAUGGGCGCAAGCCUGAUGCAGCAACCCCGCGUGCGGAAUAACGGGCUUCGGGUUAUGAACCGCUUUGGCCGUUGACAAGGAGUGAGUGACGGUAAUGGGUAAAGAAGCACCGGCUAACUACGUG